CGACGCAGCUAACGCAUUAAGUGCCCCGCCUGGGGAGUACGAUCGCAAGAUUAAAACUCAAAGGAAUUGACGGGGCCCCGCACAAGCAGCGGAGCAUGCGGCUUAAUUCGACGCAACGCGAAGAACCUUACCAAGGCUUGACAUAUAGGGAAAAGUGGCAGAGAUGUCAUGUCCGCAAGGGCCCUAUACAGGUGGUGCAUGGUUGUCGUCAGCUCGUGUCGUGAGAUGUUGGGUUAAGUCCCGCAACGAGCGCAACCCUCGUUCUGUGUUGCCAGCAUUUAGUUGGGGACUCACAGGAGACUGCCGGGGUUAACUCGGAGGAAGGUGGGGAUGACGUCAAAUCAUCAUGCCCCUUAUGUCUUGGGCUGCACGCAUGCUACAAUGGCCGGUACAGAGGGCUGCAAUACCGUAAGGUGGAGCGAAUCCCAAAAAGCCGGUCUCAGUUCGGAUUGAGGUCUGCAACUCGACCUCAUGAAGUUGGAGUUGCUAGUAAUCGUAGAUCAGCAACGCUACGGUGAAUACGUUCCCGGGGCUUGUACACACCGCCCGUCACGUCACGAAAGUCGGUAACACCCAAAGUCAGUGCCCAACCGCAAGG
rnacentral:rRNA from 1 species